UUUUUAUGUGGACCUCUGUCCUUGUGCCUUGUGUGCUUGGAUAGAACCACAUAAGCAGGUGAAACUUCUUAGAGGAACUGGCGCCCAAAAAGGCGCACGAGAAAGAGCAAUAACAGGUCUGUGAUGCCCUAAGAUGUCCGGGGCCGCACGCGUGCUACAAUGACGAUGCUACUGAGCAUGAUUAACUUGUCCGAAAGGACUGGUGAAACUGUUCAAUCAUCGUCGUGACUGGGAUUGGGGUUUGCAAUUGUCCCCCAUGAACCAGGAAUUCCUAGUAAGCACAAGUCAUAAGCUUGUGCUGAUUACGUCCCUGCCCUUUGUACACACCGCCCGUCGCUACUACCGAUUGAAUGGUUUAGCAAGGACAUUGGAUUGAGCCCUUGCGGUUUCGGCUGCUUGGUUUUGAGAAGAUGUCCGAACUUGAUCAUUUAGAGGAAGUAAAAGUCGUAACAAGGUUUCCGUAGGUGAACCUGCGGAAGGAUCAUUA
rnacentral:rRNA from 1 species